CUUUGUUAUAAGCAGGUGUAAUUCUUUGUUUGAAUAACUUAAGGAAAAUGAGUUUAACAAUAAAAUGUGAAACAAUGGAUAUUAAAAUCGUAUCAAUACUGGGGCAUUUACCUGAGAUAAAUGUGACGAUAGCAACAUGUGUUGUUUUUAAAAUUGUCGCAAAGAAAAUAUCCUAAUGAAUAGAACAAUGAAGUACAACAAUACGUCCUUACCUCAAAACAAAAACAAAAGGUAGUAUAAAUACUGUUAAUUUGAAUGGGAAAAUCAUUACACUCUCGAGGAUUCCACCUUAAGCGGAACAGUAAUACCAAAAAACUACGAAAAUGCGUUUCCAAUUUUUCUUUUUGAUCUUGGCUAUCUUCGCUGUCUAUCAAGCAGCUAGUUGCCAUACUGGAGGAGGUGAUGGCUGUUCCAAAAAGUCAUGUGCUCCUAAAUGUAGCCCUCCUCCAAGAGCUCCCAGUUGCUCAGGCGGUUGCGAUGAUUCUGGACACUCGAUCAAGGCUGGCGCUGCUCUCGGAAUCAGCUUUUAGGGCAAGCUCUAAAAAACAUGCGGUCCAAAUAAAAACAGCCGAUGAGAACGACGCGAUGGAUUUAUGAAUCAUCGUGUGUAAUGAAAUGAAAUCCUACAAGAUUUUCUCAUCUAUCAGUCCAUCUACCGCAGCUCAUAUCAAGAUAUUAAAUUUUUCUAACCGAAGAUUUUUUUACAUUCGCGGGAAAUAUAUUUUUUUGUAAUAUUCAAAUUCAUAUAUGAAAUAAAAAUCAGCAAAAAUUUAUAUUUAUAUUUACAUA